UCCCUUCUCUCCGUAUUCUAUAUCAAAUCUUUGGUGAAGUUCCAGGAGGAUGAGCCCUAAGGCUAAUACCACACCCUGAUCCAUCGUUAAAGGAUUGAAAAGAUUAUAGUAGAGGAGAACUUGCAAAAUAACAAACAUUGUUAAGUCUAAUUGGGAGGUCAUUUCUGGAUGGCUGAGGCAGUUGGUGUUGGUUUGGGCAUAUGGUUCUGCUCCACUAUUCAUUUUUCCAUUAACCAAAUCCAUGGGAAGAGGUAGAGGCCAAUUGUGAAGGUAUUUGGAUUUGGUUUGCCACCUUGUGCCUAAAAGCAGGUAUGCCAAUUUGAUCCAUAUGCACUUGACCCCUAAUGUUAUUGGGCACUUUUGAAAGGAUGUUGAAAUGCAUGAUAGUGGACAUUACAUGACUGAGUUUUGAUAAUGAAUCUGCAAGAUACAUGCACUUGACCCCUGAUGUUAUUGGGCAUUUCUGAAAGGCUGUUGAAGUGCAUGAUAGUGGACAUUACAUGACUGAGUUUGGACAAUGAAUCCGCAGGAUAGUUGACCUCCCUGUAAGUGUGUCUGAAUGUGAUGAUCUCACAUAGCUGGCAUUCUUGCUGAACCUUCUGAACUUGCAUCAUAAGGGGCCAAGGUGGGGUUAUGUCCUCUGUUAACCACUGAAUAAGGAUAGCUGAGUCUGUUUCCAACUGGAUUUUGGUGAAGCCAUUGGUUAUGCACCAUUGUAUUCCCAAAUAUGCUGCUUCAGUUUCUGCCUGAUUGUUGGUACCAUAGCCUAAAGGAGCUGAGAUGGCAUGAAUGAAUUCACCAUUUUGACCUCUGAUGAUGGCACCAGCUCCAAUCUUCCCUGGAUUUGUCAAUGCACUACUAUCACUGUUGACUUUUACUAAUCCAGGCUCAGGUUUUGCCCAGACCGCUUUCUGCACAUUGGUGUUGUGUUUGAUACUCUCGAUGAGGGGGUAAAGCUGAGGCCAAUUAAAUGGCCAUUUGAUCUGAGCAUAAUGAC
rnacentral:lncRNA from 1 species